ensembl:lncRNA
UAGUAGCAGGCCAACCGAUAACACCAAGAUGGAAUGCUUUUGAAGUGUUAAUGCGCCGCCGAGAACAAGUCCAGGGAAGUACAUCGCCAGUGGCACGCACACACUUCGUGCCGAUCAGCAGCUCCACAAUGAUGUGAUCGACUGUCUCCAAGGUGGGGGCUUUUCGUGGCAGCCAGACGAGACAAUCAAAGGAGGAUGUGCCUGGACAUUCGUUACCCGAUUAUCAAAAGCACUCUGGUAUAUGGAACUCCAUCUAGAGAAGUUUAAAGAGGGAGGCUUAGCCAUACCAGACAGAUUCCUGCAAUUAGGCCUUGGAUCCAACAACAGGUACCAGGAAACACGACACAAAGGCACCAAAACGAAGUCAAAAUCAGCUUCAUUGCAGUCAGCUGUCUAUUUCAAUAUCCCAGCCCUGGGCACACUGGAAUCACUUCACAGAUCUCAGAGAAGAUGUGGCGAGUCGAACAGAGUCCAUAGCAGCUGAUGCAUCCCACUGGGAGAAGGUGAAUCAAGCAAUGACCAGACGUCACCAACAGCCCACUCCCCUACGUACACCAGAGUCUGAUGUUUUAUGCUACACUGUGAGAGCACCAUGCUGACCGGUCAGCCCCCAGUAUAGCACUCUGUUACAAGCUUUGGAUAAAGUGCCCCAAUUCCACCCCCUCUUUCAACUGGACUUUGCUGCUGAAGAUAAGAUUCCAGAGAAGGAAAUGGAUUGACAACUUGAAACCGCCAUCGACUUUCACUGUAUAGAAGUAUGCCUGUGGUAACCACCUAGGCACUCUGACAUUCAAAUGGAAGGUAUCCUCACACAGCAAUGGUGUUCAUGAGACCAGGCUUCUGUCAUCUCCCCACUGUGAAAAGAAAUACCAACAUACUCCACACUAGAGCAAUGCAAAAAACAUUCCUGAAUACAUACGCACACGCUGCAAAGUGAACAGCUACUUCCUGAGAGAAAUGUAUCAGUUUCUGACAGAUGACAAGAGUUAAGCAAAUGAUGAUGAACAGGGGGCCUACUUGAUGAGAGAGUAUCCUUGUUCCUCCUUGAUGGUGAUGACCCAGACCUGAUCAUGGAUUUAAGGAAGCUGAAUGGCAAACCACAAUCCUCAUUUCAGCACUUUUGGGAUUAAGUACAAAAGUAUUUUAACGAAUACACAGCUCAGGUCAACGAUUGCAGACAUGGGGCGGCAGGUAGCCUAGUGGUUAGAGCAUUGGACUAGUAACCGAAAGGUUGCAAGAUCAAAUCCCCGAGCUGACAAGGUAAAAAUCUGUUGGCAGUUAACCCACUAUUCCUAGGCUGUCAUUGAAAAUAAGAAUUUGUUUUUAACAGACUGGCCUAGUUAAAUAAAGGUAAACAAUAUAUAAAUAUAUAUUAGUUGAGGACUUGUGUGACAAAGUGGAAAAGCGGCUUCCACCAGUAACUAAAAUCCCAUCAAUACAGUGGCUAAGACUGCAGUUUACACCCAAGAAUCCAUGGUCCAUGUCUGCUCUCCAGUACACAGGAAGGUUUGACCUCAAGUUCAUAGUCCAGUCUCGGGUGAUAAGAAAGGAACAUCAAGACUGAAAGUUUAGAACUA